rnacentral:rRNA from 1 species
CAAUAGCGUAUAUUAAAGUUGUUGCAGUUAAAAAGCUCGUAGUUGGAUUUGUGGCGUACGGUGUGUUCCGGGCACUUGUUGUCUGAGUAACCUGCUGUUGCCAUCCUUGGGUGGCACCUGUGUGGCAUUAGGUUGUCGUGCAGGGGAUGCCCAUCAUUUACUGUGAAAAAAUUAGAGUGUUCAAAGCAGGCUUAUGCCGUUGAAUAUAUUAGCAUGGAAUAAUGAGAUAGGACUUUUUUGCUAUUUUGUUGGUUUGCGCAAAGAGGUAAUGAUUAAUAGGGACAGUUGGGGGUAUUCGUAUUCCGUAGUCAGAGGUGAAAUUCUUGGAUUUUUGGAAGACGAACUACUGCGAAAGCAUUUACCAAGGAUGUUUUCAUUAA